rnacentral:rRNA from 1 species
GACGAACGCUGGCGGCGUGCUUAACACAUGCAAGUCGAACGGUAAGGCCCUUCGGGGUACACGAGUGGCGAACGGGUGAGUAACACGUGGGUGAUCUGCCCUGCACUUCGGGAUAAGCCUGGGAAACUGGGUCUAAUACCGGAUAGGACCACUGCCUGCAUGGGUGGUGGUGGAAAGCUUUUGCGGUGUGGGAUGGGCCCGCGGCCUAUCAGCUUGUUGGUGGGGUGAUGGCCUACCAAGGCGACGACGGGUAGCCGGCCUGCGAGGGUGAGCGGCCACACUGGGACUGAGAUACGGCCCAGACUCCUACGGGAGGCAGCAGUGGGGAAUAUUGCACAAUGGGCGCAAGCCUGAUGCAGCGACGCCGCGUGAGGGAUGACGGCCUUCGGGUUGUAAACCUCUUUCAGCACCGACGAAGCGCAAGUGACGGUAGGUGCAGAAGAAGGACCGGCCAACUACGUGCCAGCAGCCGCCGUAA